GACGAACCUUUGCGGCGUGCUUAACACAUGCAAGUCGAACGGAAAGGCCCUGCUUUUGUGGGGUGCUCGAGUGGCGAACGGGUGAGUAACACGUGAGUAACCUGCCCUUGACUUUGGGAUAACUUCAGGAAACUGGGGCUAAUACCGGAUAGGAGCUCCUGCUGCAUGGUGGGGGUUGGAAAGUUUCGGCGGUUGGGGAUGGACUCGCGGCUUAUCAGCUUGUUGGUGGGGUAGUGGCUUACCAAGGCUUUGACGGGUAGCCGGCCUGAGAGGGUGACCGGCCACAUUGGGACUGAGAUACGGCCCAGACUCCUACGGGAGGCAGCAGUGGGGAAUAUUGCACAAUGGGCGGAAGCCUGAUGCAGCAACGCCUCGUGCGGGAUGACGGCCUUCGGGUUGUAAACCGCUUUCGCCUGUGACGAAGCGUGAGUGACGGUAAUGGGUAAAGAAGCACCGGCUAACUACGUGCCAGCUGCCGCGUUGAUACCUAUGGCGCGAGCGUUGGUCCGGAUUUGUUGUGCGCAAAGGGUUCUUAGGUGGUUGAUCGCGUCUGAAGUGCAAUCUUGGGGACUUAACCCUGAGCGGUGCUUUCGAUUACGGGUUGACUUGAGCAAGGUACGGGGAAAAUGGAAUUCCUGGGGGAGCGGUGGCAAUGCGCAGAUAUCAGGAGGAACACCAGUGGCGAAGGCGGUUCUCUGGGCCUUUCCUGACGCUGAGGAGCGAAAGCGUGGGGAGCGAACAGGCUUAGAUACCCUGGUAGUCCACGCUGUAAACGGUGGGUACUAGGUGUGGGGUCCAUUCCACGGGUUCCGUGCCGUAGCUAACGCUUUAAGUACCCCGCCUGGGGAGUACGGCCGCAAGGCUAAAACUCAAAGGAAUUGACGGGGCCCCGCACAAGCGGCGGAGCAUGCGGAUUAAUUCGAUGCAACGCGUAGAACCUUACCUGGGUUUGACAUGGAUCGGGAGUGCUCAGAGAUGGGUGUGCCUCUUUUGGGGUCGGUUCACAGGUGGUGCAUGGCUGUCGUCAGCUCGUGUCGUGAGAUGUUGGGUUAAGUCCCGCAACGAGCGCAACCCUUGUUCACUGUUGCCAGCACGUUAUGGUGGGGACUCAGUGGAGACCGCCGGGGUCAACUCGGAGGAAGGUGGGGAUGACGUCAAGUCAUCAUGCCCCUUAUGUCCAGGGCUUCACGCAUGCUACAAUGGCUGGUACAGAGAGUGGCGAGCCUGUGAGGGUGAGCGAAUCUCGGAAAGCCGGUCUCAGUUCGGAUUGGGGUCUGCAACUCGACCUCAUGAAGUCGGAGUCGCUAGUAAUCGCAGAUCAGCAACGCUGCGGUGAAUACGUUCCCGGGGCU
rnacentral:rRNA from 1 species